UUUUACUAUUGGAGGAGAACAAGCAAUCAGCAGCCCCAGAUCGGUACUGACAACCACCCUUCAGUGGGAAAUAACCUGGCUCCCUAAAGCUGCUCGUGGAUCAGCUAGGCCCUAAACCUACAUGGACUCUGAACUUUUUUUCAAGAAGCAACAUUUGGCAUCCGUAUUCUUAGCUGAGCUUCAAAAUGUAAAAUGCCUUAGAAAGACAAUGAACAGAUCUGAAUUCAUACUAAGACCAUGGAAGGAAGAAUCCAUUCAUUCCACAAAGGGCGCGAGAGUAAGCAGACACUCUGUGCCAGGUGCAGGACUUCAAAGGGAAAACGAGAUCUACUUCUUUCCAGGAGAAAAGAGUUGGACUCAAACACACAGAGAGACCAUGUGAAGACACAGAGAGAAGAUCACCAUCUACAAGUCACAGGGAGAAGCCUCAGAAGACAUCAACCCUCCCAAAACCUCAAUUUAGAAUUUUGGCCCCAGAACUGUGAAAAAAAGUAUUUUGGUUGUUCAAACCAUCCAGCCUGUGAUGCUGUGUUACAUCAGCCCUAGAAACCAAUAUACUUGGGUAAACGUGAAUAAAUUGAUACUAA